GACGAACCGUCCUAACGUUGUUCGGAAUCACUGGGCUUAAAGGGCGCGUAGGCGGGCUCUCAAGUCCGGGGUGAAAUCUUUCGGCUCAACCGGAAAAUAGCCUUGGAUACUGAGAGUCUCGAGCGAGGUAGGGGCGGGUGGAACUUCCGGUGGAGCGGUGAAAUGCGUUGAUAUCGGAAGGAACGCCGGUGGCGAAAGCGACCCGCUGGACCUCUUCUGACGCUGAGGCGCGAAAGCCAGGGGAG
rnacentral:rRNA from 1 species